rnacentral:rRNA from 1 species
GGGAUUGCCCCAGUAACGGCGAGUGAAGCGGCAACAGCUCGAAUUUGAAAUCUGGCCCCCCCGCGGGCCCGAGUUGUAAUUUGCAGAGGAUGCUUUUGGCGCGGCGCCUUCCGAGUGCCCUGGAACGGGACGCCAUAGAGGGUGAGAGCCCCGUCUGGUCGGACGCCCAGCCUCUGUAAAGCUCCUUCGACGAGUCGAGUAGUUUGGGAAUGCUGCUCUAAACGGGAGGUAUAUGUCUUCUAAAGCUAAAUACCGGCCAGAGACCGAUAGCGCACAAGUAGAGUGAUCGAAAGAUGAAAAGCACUUUGAAAAGAGGGUUAAACAGCACGUGAAAUUGUUGAAAGGGAAGCGCUUGUGACCAGACUCGGGCGCGGCGAAUCACCCGGCGUUCUCGCCGGUGCACUUCGACGCGCCCGGGCCAGCAUCAGCUCGCCGCGGGGGACAAAGGCGCCGGGAACGUGGCUCCCCAGGGAGUGUUAUAGCCCGGCGCGCAACGCCCCGCGGCGGUCUGAGGUUCGCGCGUCCGCAAGGAUGCUGGCGUAAUGGUCACCAGUGACCCGUCUUGAAACACGGACCAAGGAGUCGUCCUCGUAUGCGAGUGUUCGGGUGUCAAACCCCUACGCGCAAUGAAAGUGAACGCGGGUGAGAGCCUCGCGGCGCAUCAUCGACCGAUCCUGAUGUUCUCGGAUGGAUUUGAGUAGGAGCAUACGGGGCCGGACCCGAAAGAAGGUGAACUAUGCCUGUGUAGGGUGAAGCCAGAGGAAACUCUGGUGGAGGCUCGCAGCGGUUCUGACGUGCAAAUCGAUCGUCAAACAUGGGCAUGGGG